rnacentral:rRNA from 1 species
UACGUAGGUGGCAAGCGUUGUCCGGAUUUAUUGGGCGUAAAGAGCGUGUAGGCGGCCUGGUAGGUCAGCUGUGAAAACUCGAGGCUCAACCUCGAGACGCCGGUUGAAACCAUCAGGCUAGAGUCCGGAAGAGGAGAGUGGAAUUCCCGGUGUAGCGGUGAAAUGCGCAGAUAUCGGGAAGAACACCCGUGGCUAAGGCGGCUCUCUAGUACGGUACUGACGCUGAGACGCGAAAGCGUGGGGAGCGAACAGG